rnacentral:tRNA from 1 species
CAUGCUAAUCUUUAGGGGAAUAUUCGUUUACAUUGAAUAAAUUAUCGUGCAACUCGAUAUAGCUUGA